CAAGCGUUGUUCGGAUUUACUGGGCGUAAAGGGCGCGUAGGCGGCCACCGCAAGUCGACUGUGAAAUCUCCGGGCUUAACCCGGAAAGGUCAGCCGAUACUGCGGGGCUAGAGUGCAGAAGGGGCAACUGGAAUUCUCGGUGUAGCGGUGAAAUGCGUAGAUAUCGAGAGGAACACCUGCGGCGAAGGCGGGUUGCUGGGCUGACACUGACGCUGAAGCGCGAAAGCUAGGGGAGCGAACGGG
rnacentral:rRNA from 1 species